UACUUUUAAUCACUAUUUUUAUGAUCGUGUUAAUAAGUUAUUUAUAUCAAUCUAUAUUCUACGGAUAACGGCUUUUUCUCGAUGAGAUGUAUUUUUGUAAAAAAACCAUCAACAUGUCAUACUGAUGUCAGCGGCGUAAAUCGGUCGAGAAAUAGGAUAGUCGAACAUCUUACCGCGAAUUCUUCACGGAUAAAAGGUAUAAAUGCUAUGGAAUACUCUUCGAUACUAUUUUCCCCAGACCCAAAGUCACA